rnacentral:siRNA from 1 species
UCCUCUAGGUGCAAUCUGAU